GUGCUCGCUUCGGCAGCACAUAUACUAAAACUGGAACGGUACAGAGAAGAUUAGCAUGGCCCCUGCGCAAGGAUGAAAUGCAAAUUCGUGACACGUUCCAUAUUUUU
ensembl:snRNA U6 U6 spliceosomal RNA